rnacentral:rRNA from 1 species
UAACGUGUGGGUAACCUGCCUUAUACUGUGGAAUAAUCACUUGAAAAGGUGACUAAUACCGCAUGUGGUCUCCGGAGGGCAUCCUCUGGAGAAGAAAGGAUUUAUUCGGUAUAAGAUGGACCCGCAUCUGAUUAGCUAGUUGGUGAGAUAAUAGCCCACCAAGGCAACGAUCAGUAGCCGACCUGAGAGGGUGAUCGGCCACAUUGGGACUGAGACACGGCCCAA